rnacentral:rRNA from 1 species
ACUCAAAUGAAUUGACGGGGGCCCGCACAAGCGGUGGAGCAUGUGGUUUAAUUCGAUGCAACGCGAAGAACCUUACCUGGUCUUGACAUCCACAGAACUUUCCAGAGAUGGAUUGGUGCCUUCGGGAACUGUGAGACAGGUGCUGCAUGGCUGUCGUCAGCUCGUGUUGUGAAAUGUUGGGUUAAGUCCCGCAACGAGCGCAACCCUUAUCCUUUGUUGCCAG